rnacentral:rRNA from 1 species
AACUUUUAACAAUGGAUCUAUAGGCUCUCACAUUGAUGAAGAACACAGUGAAAUGUGAUAAGUAAUGUGAAUUGCAGAAUUCAGUGAAUCAUAGAAUCUUUGAACACAUCUUGCACCUUUUGGUAUUCCAAAAGGUACACCUGUUUGAGUGUCAU